AUGCUUGCCUGGUGGGGAGAUUCCACAGUCAAAAAGGUGGUUUUCCCAGGGUGAGGCUUAUGCAUUGUACUCCAUAUGUGACUUCCUCAAUUCUGAGAAACUUGGCUGCAAAAUCUGUGGUGUGGGGGACAACAUUCACACUGUUCCAUA
rnacentral:snRNA from 1 species